UAUGUUUUUUAUUGAAAGAGCUUGGGUCUCAUUUAUAAAUGUGGCGUACGCACAAAACGAAGCUGAAAAUGUGCGUAGGCCACCUCCCACGCAAAGGUUGUGAUUGAUAAAAAAAAUGCGUACGCACAUUUUGGGGACAAUGGGAAUUGGCGACGCAGAU